AGACUGCUUAGCAAUGCUGGAAUCUUGGAGACAUCAGCAUGCUUAUGUCACAAGCCACAUCUGUCACUGCAGGAUUUGUGUUUGUCCUCACGUUAAUAAUAACUGAUGGAGGCACCAAGUCGCCUUCCCUUAAAAGCAAGGAGUCUGAAUAUCAGUUUGGGAAGAGGUGCUUCAAAGAUCAAACCAGGCCCAUGACAGUGACAUUCCUGGAUCAAUAUGGUCAGGAGGGUCAUAUAUAUCCUUCCAGUGGCAAGCUAAUAGUCCAAAGCCAGUACAUGAUAUGAAAAAGUUCUCAAUGUUACAACAAAACCAUGAAAAGGAAGAAAUAAGUGGCUGAGAAUGAAGAGUAAAAAUAACUGAAUAAAUUUAGACAUAAGUUCCAAGUGGUUUUCAACGGCUCUGGAUGUGGAAACCACUGCAGGUCAACAUCCCGAAAGAAAGUCCACAAUUAUACUUAUCAGUUUUCCACCCCCUGCUAAAGUAACCACAACAUUAUCAUGAGGAAAUCAUGAAAAGAAAAAGCAUGCUGCAGCAUACUCAUUCAACUUUGAAUAUAAUCAAAGAAGAAAUACCAUCCUUCACAAGUGAACUGCAGAAUUAUUUCCUACCCUGAGGAAUUGAUCUUUUCAUACCACUAUGGUGAGAUUUAACUUCUCUCAGAAAAACCAAAAAAUAAAGUGUUGUAUUACAAGGCUGUGUCCUGUAAAUACUUGAGAGUUAUGCCUGUAAUUUCCCUAAAGUUCAUGGUCUGCAGUGCUUGCUCAUGUCCAAAGUGGUUUAGAAGAUCAGACUCCAAG
rnacentral:lncRNA from 1 species